UUUCAUUCUCUCUUUCUUUCUUUCCUUCCUUAUAUCAACGCGAAAGCAUCGUCAUCGCCCACAUAACUCCCAAAGCUUUCAGAUGCUCACAGUGAAGACAGAAUUAUAAUCCAUAUACUACGUUCUACAAGUCUAUGACAGAACAAACACCCAAGGAUAACUACGUCUUACAUCUAGACCAGCCGAUCUUUCUUUUCCUUUUCUACCACCAGUUAAUCCACAAAAGUCCUUAAUAUAUGUACGUGGCGACCCGGUCCUCCCUCAAUUUUUUGCCACGAGCAAGUUUCUCCUCAUUUCUCUUGUUGCUCCAUCGGUACUGGAAGUGCUGGAAGAUGGCGCAAGCGUUACCGAAAGCAACGAGGCAGACAGUCACUCGGAAACCGAUAGGGUAAGUAGGCGCGUCGUUUGCACGGAGGAGCUGGGAGCCAACAAGACCACCGAGGUUGGCAGCCAUGAUGAACAUGGCCAUGGCGAUGGCUCGCUGUUGUGGAGUCUUUUGGUUGAGGGAGAGCCAAGUGGCGUUCAAAGGGUGCCAGCAGACAGAGUAGCCGCUGGUCAACGUCAAAGUGACGUACUUGGUCCAUCGAUUGGAAGUUAAUGACUCGGAUUGGACUGAAAGCCAAUUAGCAGGUGAUGCUGGUGAUAGCCAAGGCAAAUCGACUUACAGGCAAUCCAAAGGAUCAAAUAAGGGAAGCAAGCGAGGAUGACAAUAGGGCCCUUAUUUUUGAACCUGUCACUAUAGGGAACUGUCAGCAUGAUUAAAGGUGGAGAAAGUUUAGGGGCGGUACUGACCCGACGAAACCGUAGGUAAGCAUGAGAACCAAACUGAUCCAACCGCCGACAGAGGACAAAGCAUUGGCUUUGAUGGUGUCGAAACCGAAACCUUUGAUAAGUGUUGGAAGAUACUGGCCCAAAGCGGCAGUGGUGGCGAUAAGACUGAUAGCGUUGAGGACGUGGGGGUAGUUUCGCCAGUUGCCAAGUGUACCGAGGAUUUCCUGUCGGGUAAGAGGACGGUGAGUGUCAAAUUUGUGCUCAUCAUCAAUGACGACACGGGCCAAAAUGAUCUCACGCUCCCUUGGAGUGAAGAGGGUGAGUCGCUUGAACAAGAGAGGGAGGGGGUUCUUGGGCGAGUUGGGAAGGAAGGUCAAGAAGACAAGGAAGCAGAAGAUGGAGAGACAACCCUCGAUGAGAAAGAGAUAUUGCCAAGGCUUCAAAGCACCGUUAAGACGCAGGAUGCCAGAAGCCAUAAGGCCACCGACACCAGAAACGAGAACGUUGCCAAUGAAAAGGAUGGCGUUUCGGCCACCGAGUUCGGAUCGCUUGUAGAAAGUGGAGAUAGUGUAGAGGGCACCGGGGAUGUCUGAGAAACUAUUAGCCCUUGUCCUCACGUCGCGACACUCAAAUCAAGCUUACAUCCACAUUCACAGACACCGAGCAAGAUACGAGUAGCGAGGAAAGAACCAUAAGAGUUCAUAAACAUCUGAAAAGUAGCGACAAGCCCAAAAGCAAGGACCUGGAAAGUGAGCCACUUUUGGGGACCAAUGCGCUGAACAACCAUCUGGGAAGGCACUCUGCAAAUGGAUAUGUUAGUUCUUGAACAGAAGAACUAACCACAACUGACGUACUCUAGAAGGACGAUACCGAGAUACAGUAAACCUUGACCGGUAUUAUACUGAUCUUGAGUGAUGCCAACAUCUUUCAGGAGAGUAGAGGAUACGGCGUUUGCAAUAUUACUGCAAAAACAAAGGUCAGCGAUACUGCAAGAUACAUGACUAAUAUGCACUGCGACCCACCCUCGUUCGAGCUGGAAACAGAAGAAACCGAAGACUAGUAAGGCCAUGACUGUCAAGUCAAGCUUAAGAACCACUCGUCUUUCUUCGGCAUUUGUCCAAUCCUUGGUGGCUAUUAUACUUGUGGAUGUGAAUUCGUCCUUUUCCGGCUCAUAUUUUUCGUUACCUGAUAAGGUUGAUCAAAAGGAAGGUAAGCAUCAGCCAAUGAUUGAUUAAGUAAGAUAUGAAUGACAGGUGACUCACCUAAAAUAUCGGAUUGAGGACGAGAGUAGCCGUCAUCGAUGCUGUGGACGGAGGAGGAGGCCAUUGUGACAGGUAAGAUAGGUCACGAGGGUCAGUACUGAUGGGAUCUAGAGGGGGACUGGUUUCUGGAAUUUGUGAGUGUGGCAUUCGGAAUAGAGAAAGGUUUGCUCUUUAUACAUGUCAGUGAGAAUCUUGUUAUUCCAGAUUUUUUGAGUGACACGCUAUGAGGGAAUGUCAGAUGUAUGAAAUUUGAAGCAUGAGUUGCAACAAGAUAACCGAUGUUAAGCACGGGUAAAAGGGAUGAGUUGAAUAUGAUGUAGUAGGAACGCUC
rnacentral:sRNA from 1 species